AAUGGAAAGCUUCCUACGUAGAGGAAGAAAUAUGUGCAAAGGCAUAUAGGUAUGAAAAUCAGGAAAGUGAAAUUGAUUUAUGCAAUUUGAGAUAAAAACAUAUUUAUUACUCUCAUAAUUAUUACCAUCAACUUCAUCAUCCCAUCAACAUUAUUUAUUAAUUUCCAUGCAGAGUGGCCAUAUGGAUUUGAUUCCUGUCCUCCAGAGGAGCUCAGCCCAAGGGAACACGGGUGUAGAUUAAGCACUGACCAGGGCCCCAUCACAUUGUGUGGAAUAGCAUUCCAUGCACCAGUUUGGAAAGUGCUGUCCUACGAAUAGAGGAUGACCGAGGUGUUCUGAUAUGCCUGGCACAUCAGCACGAGGCCACAACGAAGACACUUAGCUGCUAUCCAUCUUCAGACUUUCCAGUGAGCAUGAAACACGAAAGAUGGACCAAAAUGGAGAAACCUGGAGAAGCAGUCCUAGGGCAGCCUCUGGGUCAGCUUUCCCUAGACAUCAGACCCAUGGAGGCAGCCUGGGGUCCCGGGAUGCCCUCCCGCUCAGAGAUGUCCCCAGAGUCCGAGGAAAAUGGAGGAUAACUAGGAGGAAGCCGUCCGUGGCUGGGGGUGGGUCUACACAUUCUGGUCCAUCUCAGUGCUGUCUGCUAUUGAUUUUUUGUGCAGAUCACAUUAAUUUAAAGCCAGUUCUCAAGAAGCACCACCCCGCCCCCGAUAUAUCCACCAGUUGGUCCCCUUUCCUGCCAUUAAUCAGUGUCUGCUAAUUAGAGAACAAACUCCUGUUUGUCCAAACCGUUGCCAAGACCCCCACCCCAAGGCAGUUAAAUGAGGAUAAAUGAGUCCAUCUUAUUAAAAAGUGACUUAAAUUUAUCAAAUUCUGUUUAUGUUUCUUUUACAUCCCAAUUUUCUAUAGAUUUAGUGAUUCCAAAUGAUAAGGUCUCAAGCUUAUAGUAAUUUAUCCCUUGAAUAACACAAGCUUGGCGGUAUUUUGGUAAUAUUCAUGACAACAGCAGCAGUCGUGCUAACAAGGACUCAUGUCAGCAGAGCACUUUCUACGUCCAAGCAUGGUGCACCACACUUCCCAUGCAUUAUCUCAUUUAAUUUUCACAAAAGCCCGCAGAGGUAAAUAUUAUUAUCUUCCUCUGCAUAUAAGGAAAUGAACGUUCAGAAAGUUUAAGUCAACUCACUAAGAUGCUACAGGUGCUCUUUCAUAGGCCUCUGCUGCCGUCUCAUUGAACUAUAUAGAAAAACCUGGGGACCUAGCUAACCUUCAGAUUCCUGGGCUGCAUCUUGGAUGCAGGGAGUCAGACUUCCUGGGAGUGUGGCCCCAGAAUUUGCAUUUUUAAACACAUUCCCCAGGAGACUUGUAGGCACACUGAAGUUGGAGAAUUCAUGAUCUCUGGCUUUUGUGAUGUUUUAAAUGCACCACAUAAAUCCAAUAGCAAAAGAGUUGGGCUUUGGGAAGGGAGUGUGUGGUGCACCCUGAAAGCUGAAUGGACUUCCUUCCUGUGGAGGAGCAGUGGGAAAAAUUCGAGGCAGAGAGCUGUGUUGCCGUCCUUGAUUGAGCUUAUGUGAGUUAUUGACUCUCUCAGUCUCUAUUUUUUUCAUCUGUAAACCAGGAAGGAUACUUUUAUUUUCCAGGUGGUUGUGAAGUGUGAAAGAGAUGAGAGGAGAACAAAAUUUUAAAAAGUUGAACUCAACACUCAACGAGUGCAUGUGAUAUUAAUCCUGAGUUUCCCUGGGGCUAAGGAAGCCACCACAGACCUGUUGCAUGAUGCCAGGCACCUCGUAUGGGUACAGGGGAGGCAAAGGGAGAAGCAAACACUCCUAGGGACUGGAUAUCUUGAAUACCUGUCCACAUUUCUUGAAAGGGGCCAUUUCUUCUUUAA
ensembl:lincRNA